AUUGAACGCUGGCGGCAGGCCUAACACAUGCAAGUCGAGCGGAUGAAGGGAGCUUGCUCCUGGCUUCAGCGGCGGACGGGUGAGUAAUGCCUAGGAAUCUGCCUGGUAGUGGGGGAUAACGUCCGGCAACGGGCGCUAAUACCGCAUACGUCCUGAGGGAGAAAGUGGGGGAUCUUCGGACCUCACGCUAUCAGAUGAGCCUAGGUCGGAUUAGCUAGUUGGUGGGGUAAAGGCCUACCAAGGCGACGAUCCGUAACUGGUCUGAGAGGAUGAUCAGUCACACUGGAACUGAGACACGGUCCAGACUCCUACGGGAGGCAGCAGUGGGGAAUAUUGGACAAUGGGCGAAAGCCUGAUCCAGCCAUGCCGCGUGUGUGAAGAAGGUCUUCGGAUUGUAAAGCACUUUAAGUUGGGAGGAAGGGCAGUAAGUGAAUACCUUGCUGUUUUGACGUUACCAACAGAAUAAGCACCGGCUAACUUCGUG
rnacentral:rRNA from 1 species